UAGCCUUUGUUGGAAUUUUUCCCUGUGUAAAGGCAGACGCCAUUUCUUGUGUCAUAAGUCAGUUUCGAAUAAACUAGUGGUAGAACCUGCCUAAGUUAAUUUACAAAGGUAUUGAAUCGCAGGUAUUAGAGUUGACAAUUAGAUUAAAUACUUUUCAUAAGGGAGUGUAUUCAACUAUGGGCAACACACACGCACAACAUACACAGUAUACAGCACUAACAGCACUAACAACUAGUGACACAACCAGCAACUAACCCUGUACUGUCAUUCUGGCUACUGACCAGCCACUGGCUGGGCCUGGCUGGCCAGUGGCCACUGCCACGUAGACUAGCGACUGUCCGGUCACUUGCUGCCCUGAGAAAGAUUUUUGUUUACCUUGUACAAGUGUCUUUUACCUUGUCAUAAUAUUAUAACCUAUAUAUGUUUUAAAACAUUUUUCACUGUUCUAUAAGAAUAUCCGAUUCCCGAUUUCAUAAAAAGAAAUUUUAAAGAAAACCUAGUUUUAUCGAGGCGAUCGCAGCGCCACACAUGUAUUUCUCCGUAAAAGGAACGAAAAUGCCAUUACAUCUGUAAUAAACGACAAAAGACUGAAAGUUUAACAACUUUUUUUUUUACAAAAAAAUAAUCGACUCCUAUGGAAGAAGAUUCGCAGCCGGGGUGAGCUUGCAGAAUCAUCCUUGCGUGCUGUGUCCUUCAUUACAUUGUAUUGGCUCGAGGACAACCAACUGAAUUCAAGGACGAAGGAGUUGAUGCUGGGGAGCUUUUUGAAAUACCCAUGCCGCCCAUUCAACCUCUCAAUCAACCUCUUAAUGAAAGGGUGCUACGCCAACAAGGUUUUGAACGACGCCAAAGAUUGGCAUAUUCCCAUUUUAAAAAUUAAAUCAUCGAAAGUUUUUGUUUUUUAUUUUUUUAUUUUUGUAUUAUUUUAGUUUUGUUGGCUA